rnacentral:lncRNA from 1 species
UUUUUCUCUUUCUUUGGGAAGAGAGAAUCUAGUGUACCCAUGACCAGUUUUUAGCCAAAUGGAAAAUGGGUUGCCGUCUCUCAAAAAUUGGUGUCUCCGGUCUAGAACAAUUAGAGAGGAAAAUAAUAGAAAAUUAAAUUAUAAUCUUCCAGCACAGCUUGGGCAGCCUCCACGGAACAGUGGUGACAGAGCUGGGCCUGCAGGAGCUCUGACUCCCUGGGAAGUGCUACGUCUCCAUGUGAGGGAGGCUGCCCCAAGAGACAUAGAUGCCAGCAUUUUGAGGCUUCUGCAGCACCUGGAUCUCAAUGCUAGAGAAAAAAACCUAGAGCUAUCUCUUCGCCCACUAGUGCCAAGUGACCUGAACGUCAGCAGAAGUGAGAGGUGGUUGCAUGCCUCUCCUUUCAGCUCUCACCCAACUCGGGCAGGGGGGAUAUAAGUUCCAAGCCAGGGAUAGAACCCAGGCAACAACAGUGAUGACACUGCAUCCUUAACCGCUAGGCUACCAGGGAACUCCGUGUCGCCCCUACUUUCUUCCAUGAUAUGCUUUUGUUUCCUAAGAGGAGCCACACAGUCUCAGCCUCUAAACUUCUCUAGACGAUGCCACAUUUAUUUCACUUGGCAGAAUUUCCUUGAAAUCCAUGCCAUGGAAUUGAUACCUCUUCCUUUUUUCCAUAAUCAGUGAAAAUUUUUUCAUAAUUUGUAUUUUCUAUUGGGUUAUUUCAGGGAAGGGGAGAUAUGCCACUAUGUCCUGAAAAUGAAUAAUUCCUCUCCAUUAAUUCUCAAUUUUCUCUUCUUUCUUUUCACUGCCACCAGAAAUAGAACAGUUAUAAUUAUCUUCACUCCCUCCCUCUGCCCUUCAUUUAUUGGCAUCACUUGAAAAAUCUCUUGCCUCGGUGGAAGAAUUGUCAUUUUUUACCUUCAUUGAAAACACCCUGGGGAUUUUCCUCAAAUAAUUGAUUAAACUGUACUUAAAAUAAGUUGCCAUUUGAUUUAUUUCUCACUGUUUUGAUGCACCUAAAUUACCUCUUAGUUCAAAUUUAUCUUUAGUAUUUUAGUAUCUUUUGGUAAUUGCAUCUACACUUGAUGAAAUGUGGAAGAAGCUUAUAUUUAUUAGGUUGUAAAUUAUUAUGCAGUGUGCAAUUUUGAUUAGCAAAGUGCACCACAGUGUUUUUCAUGGAUUAAUAAUAGGAAAAUGUAUGGUAUUACCCAAGAGAGAUAAGAUGAAAAUUUUAGUUCACAAAAAUAAUGGAAAUAAAUGGCUUGAUUGUCACAUACGUUAAACUGCAAAAAGAAUUAUUGCUAACAUCUCUCUACCACUUGGCUCUUGAGACCAAGUUAAUGAUACUUUAGUAUUUUUAUUCCAGAAUAUACAAUUUAUAGCUGACUAAACCACAGUACCCUUUUUUUCCCCAUUAGCUUCAUGGAAUGCAUAUUCAUUCAAAAUAACUUAACAUGAUCUGGGUUUGGUGAGUUGGAAAUGGGGUUAGGGAUAUUGCUAUGAGAUCAACAGGACAGUAAACGAGUUAUAAGAUAAUUAUUCCUCUUCGAUGGCUUUCACCAUGACAACUCAGUUCUGAAAUUCAACUAUUAUUCAGCUCAAAUUAUAGUCAAAGUUUAAAGCUUGAAUUUUAUUGACCUCCUUCUGAUGUCUAUGACAUCUAAUCAUCUGGGUAUAUGAAACCAGAUUGUUAACAGCAAGAGCAGCUCAAAAAGGUCUUUACCAUACACACCUGGACAGUUCCUUUGUAAAGCCCAAGUGAUGAUUCAGUCUCUGGGCGCUGUUACACAUGCAUAACCACCUUGGGGCAGAAAUUGAACAUGGCAUUCCUAUCUCCCUCACUAUCAAGCUGCAAAUCAUUCAUAGCCCAAACAUUCCAGUUUGUUUUAUAGUCAAAUAUAGGUUAUCUUGUGAUUUAAAUUGCAAACCUCUGCUCAACUCUUACUAAAAAGAAAGAAAAGGAACAAGAACAAGAAGAAUAAGAACAAGAGAUACUUAGAAAGUGUCAUUAGAUGUUAGUACCAAUAAUUCUGACAACUAACCCCUUGCUUAAGACUAUGUGGGCAAGUGUCCUACCAAUUGAACCCACUGUCUAACUUUGACCCAUCUCUAGAAUUAAAAAGAAGAAAUACAGUGUUUUCAAAUGUCAAGUCCAAAAGAAGCAUUGCUCCUCAACUCCAAAACUGGUUGGUGGCAACUGAUAGUAUAUUAGGUUUCUAGUCCUGUUAUAUCACAAACCGGGUGGCGUCAACAGCAGAAAUGUAUUUUCUCACAGUUCUGGAGGCUAGAAGCUCAAGGUCAAGGCCUUGGCAGGUUUGGUUUCUGCUCUCCUUGGUGAAGAUGGUCUCCUUCCUGAUGUGUACUCAUAUGGUUUUUCCCUCAGUCUGUGUCUGUCUUAAUCUCUUCUUAUAAAGACACCAGUCAUGUUGGAUUAGGGUCCACCCAUAUGAGCUCAUUUUUAAGUUUCAAGGUCCUAUCUCCAAAUACAGUAAUAUUCUGAGGUAUUGAUAGUUAGGACAUAGGAAUUCGAUGAGGACACAAUUCAGUCCACAACACCUUGUAAAGGAAUCAGAAAUAAUCUUAGGGAAUUUGUUUCAUAACCACAAGUAAAUAUCAUUGGCCAUGUAACAAUUCAUAGACUGCAUCUUAUCCUAAAGGAAUUUAUAGACUCAUUGUGAGAUCAGACCAACACACAUGAGCAAGAUAAAUAAUCAGAGGGUAUCCAAAUGAGUGGUGAGCAUUAUGGAGUUACUCAGAUUCUCCCAGGGUUACUAUCUAGAGAUAAGCGACACAGAGAGCUUACUAUCUAGCAAAAGGAGAAUACAUCCAUGGACAUAAUUAAUUAUAACUAAGUAUGCUAAUGUUAGUUUAUAAUUGUUUGAGCAAAUGCUGUGGAAAUCCAGAGGUGGAAGCUAUUCCUUCUGAGUUGUUGAGAGAAGAGGGGAGAGUUAGGAAAGUUUUUCUGAAGAGGUGUUGGGGUGAGUGACCAUUAGCCAAGAAAAAGUCACAUUAAUUCCCACAUGGGGUACUGCAUGGAGACAGUGACCUUAUUGAACUGGGGGGCAAGGUCAGUGUGUUGUCAUGAGUAGAGCUAGUUGUAUUUAGGCCAUUGGAAAUAUAGGUCUAGAGAUCAGGAUAGUGGCACCUGGCUUUUCAGACAUAGGAAGCUAUGGGCAAGAAUGGAACAAGUGUCAGAGUACUGAGAACAAAACUUCGGGGGGCAUUCAUAUUUAGAAGUCAAGCAAAGGAAGAGAAGCCAGUGAAAGGGAUUCAUCAAAGGGGUGGAGUAGAGGCAGGUGUGCAGAAAAGAUCAACAACUUCCAGAUCAAGCAGAGACAUCGGCUUUGGGAACCAGGAGGUUAUAGGUGAUUAUGAAGGUUGGGUUUUAAGGGAUAACAGGGAUAGAACCCAGAGGAGAGAGGGUUAAGAAGAAAAUGGUCCCUGAAGACAUGGAGGUAGCACGGCCACAUUCUGUAAAAUAGCAGCACUGAAAGGAAAAGCAUGAAUGCCCAGCAGGGUGGAAGGUAGUGAAGCAAGAAUGGAGGGAUGAGGAGCAGGAUUUGGUGAUCUCUUUAGAUCUGGGUUCUGUGCAAGAAAUUUUAAACUUGUCACCUCUUUCAGUCCUCGCAAUAGUACCCUAUUUGACAAUGAGGAAGCCAAAGCUUAGAGUGGUGUCCAAAUUUGAAUAAUUAGUAAAUAGACAAACUGAGACUCAAUUCUACACUGUAGUUGCUAGUGUUCUAUUUCUUUCUCUAUUGGUGGAAUUUGUAGUACUGGGGAAAAACAGAUAAUUAAAAUAUUGGGAAUCAGAAUCUUCUCACCUCACCAAACCAAAUAUCUAGGAGGGUAGCUCAAGAGCAGAAAAUGCCCUGACAUGUAGAAGGAAUUACUCUUAUCAAGUUUAGUGAGUGAAGCUGUGAAUGUGAAUGUCUCCCAGAAUCUGAGAUUACAAUUGCCUAAGUGAUGUGACAUGCGGUGCCCAGACCAGCCCACUAUCGCAGCUGGAGAGGGGCCUCUGAGCUCCAGUGGUUCUAUUCUCCUGGUCUCAGGCAUCUCUUGGUAUUACACACCCACUCGAGCAGAGAGGGCCUAUACUAGUGAUUUCAGAUGAAAUCAAGCAUUGGGAAGCCCUAAAAUGCUGAAGCAAAAGGUGCCUUAAGCCUCGUCUUGGCCAACAUCUCAUUUUAUAAGUAAAGAAUAGGAAAACUUGAGAGGACAGUGGACUUCAGUCAUAAAAACUUAUUUUGGUCUAAUUCAAGCAUAGGAAUUUGUUUAAUCACCAUUUUAUCACCUGCCUCAGGUUUCAUCUCAGCAAGAAAGCAGCACUAAGCCUUCAGAAGUGUUGUUCUAGUGAGCAAUCUGACUCUGGCUCUUAAACUUUUGGCCUGUAGAAGCACCAGGGCAGGGAUUGAUUCUUGACAGCUAAGCCUAAUGCCUCACUCAGGUCCUCAGGCUAAGAAUGAUUCAGAGCGAUGGGCAGGCCACUUAACAGGGGACCACAGCAGGGAGCCACGGUAAAGCAAAGGACAUGACAUUUGGCUAUAGAGUGUAAGCAGUGAAGAGAGAAUUUCAACUACAUACAGAAAGAAAUUAAAAUUUUGGUUCCUAAAUUUUAUUUUAAUCAUGGGAUUGUUUUCAGGGCCUGCUGCUGCAUGAGCUGCUGGUACAGCUUAGCAAUUGGAAAUGGUAAGGCAGUAAACAGUUUUUAGCCUCCUGACCUGGGGAGGAGCCAGUCUGACUCUCUUUAGACACCUGGUUGACAAAUAAGUACAAGUUCAGCAGGACUGAUCUGCUGACACUGCAGAGAAGAUGACCAAGCCACUCACACUGAUGGAACAACUGAGGUAUAAAGGGGUGAGCUGCAUCCCACCCUUCCUUAUGAACCCCC